rnacentral:rRNA from 1 species
CUACGGGUUGCUGCAGUGGGGAAUAUUGCACAAUGGGCGCAAGCCUGAUGCAGCCAUGCCGCGUGUAUGAAGAAGGCCUUCGGGUUGUAAAGUACUUUCAGCCGGGAGGAAGGGAGUAAAGUUAAUACCUUUGCUCAUUGACGUUACCCGCAGAAGAAGCACCGGCGAACUCCGUGCCAGCAGUCGCGGUAAUACGGAGGGUGCAAGCGUUAAUCGGAAUUACUGGGCGUAAAGCGCACGCAGGCGGUUUGUUAAGUCAGAUGUGAAAUCCCCGGGCUCAACCUGGGAACUGCAUCUGAUACUGGCAAGCUUGAGUCUCGUAGAGGGGGGUAGAAUUCCAGGUGUAGCGGUGAAAUGCGUAGAGAUCUGGAGGAAUACCGGUGGCGAAGGCGGCCCCCUGGACGAAGACUGAUGCUCAGGUGCGAAAGCGUGGGGAGCAAACAGGAUUAGAUACCCUCGUAGUC